UAGAGUUUGAUCAUGGCUCAGAUUGAACGCUGGCGGCAGGCCUAACACAUGCAAGUCGAGCGGUAGAGAGAAGCUUGCUUCUCUUGAGAGCGGCGGACGGGUGAGUAAUACCUAGGAAUCUGCCUGGUAGUGGGGGAUAACGUUCGGAAACGGACGCUAAUACCGCAUACGUCCUACGGGAGAAAGCAGGGGACCUUCGGGCCUUGCGCUAUCAGAUGAGCCUAGGUCGGAUUAGCUAGUUGGUGAGGUAAUGGCUCACCAAGGCUACGAUCCGUAACUGGUCUGAGAGGAUGAUCAGUCACACUGGAACUGAGACACGGUCCAGACUCCUACGGGAGGCAGCAGUGGGGAAUAUUGGACAAUGGGCGAAAGCCUGAUCCAGCCAUGCCGCGUGUGUGAAGAAGGUCUUCGGAUUGUAAAGCACUUUAAGUUGGGAGGAAGGGCAUUAACCUAAUACGUUAGUGUUUGACGUACCGAC
rnacentral:rRNA from 1 species